UACGUAGGGGGCAAGCGUUGUCCGGAAUCAUUGGGCGUAAAGAGCGUGUAGGCGGCCCGAUAAGUCCGCUGUGAAAGUCCAGGGCUCAACCCUGGAAUGCCGGUGGAUACUGUCGGGCUCGAGUCCGGAAGAGGCGAGUGGAAUUCCUGGUGUAGCGGUGAAAUGCGCAGAUAUCAGGAGGAACACCGAUGGCGAAGGCAGCUCGCUGGGACGGUACUGACGCUGAGGCGCGAAAGCGUGGGGAGCAAACAGG
rnacentral:rRNA from 1 species